AACUAAUAAUACCAUGAUGUCCACAUGCCUCUAUAAACAACUAGUCAAACCUUCCUAACCAAACCCUCCAUCCCACCUCUCUCUCUCUCUCUCUCUCUUUAGACUGUUGCUUUGUGUUUGAGUUCUUGAUCAUGAGAUGCUACCCUUUUGCCACCAUCUCCGGUGGCAAAGGGGUGGUAGCUAAAGAUGGAUUUCGCCCGUUUGUCUGUAGGAGCAGGUGGCUAUUGUUGACAAAUUAUUGUUAGAGGUCAUCGAGCUGAUCUGCUUUUAUCUUAGUUCCCACGGCAUGGGAAAGAGCCGAAGAAUUUGAUCCUGAAAGAUUCGACUUGGAAGGUCCAGUUCCAAACGAAACGAAUACUGACUUUAGAUUCAUCCCGUUUAGUGGAGGGCCACGAAAAUGUGUUGGUGAUCAAUUUGCCUUGUUGGAAGCUACAGUUGCUCUUGCGAUAUUGUUGCAGAACUUCUCGUUCGAGUUGAUUCCAGAUCAAAAUAUUAGCAUGACUACUGGAGCAACCAUUCAUACGACAAACGCAAGAUUCUCACCUAAAAAGCGAGCUAUUUUUAUUGUUAUAAGAUGUGUAACGAGUUCUCACGAUGUAAAUUAUUAUGUCUUUC